rnacentral:tRNA from 1 species
GCGAGGAUGGCGGAAUUGGCAGACGCACUGGAUUUAGGUUCCAGCGGGGAAACCCGUGGGGGUUCGACUCCCCCUCCUCGUA